UCUGCGUUUCAUUAAUAUAGUUGUGCACACCAUUUGGGCUUUUAGUUUUGAUGGACUUCGUUUUUACUUUGGACUUCUGUGAGGGUUAGACCGUGUUCUUCUUCGUCACCUCUCCAGUUCUUCGCAAGAACUCUUUCAUAUUCUUCCUCAGAUACAGAAACAUACCAGUUACGAAUAAUCAUAUUAAAACCUCUCCAUUAAUCUCUCACAUACGAUUCAUAUUCAAUGCGAUUUCUAGAUCUGCAAGGCGGUGGAGGUUCAUCUAUAAAAAGACGCGCUCCUCCUCCUCCUCUGUUCAAGUCCGGUUGCUCUGUUUAUAGGAGGCCAGGAGUGACCGCCGUGGUGGAGAACUCAUGUGGGAGUGGAUGUACUCCUUCUCGAUUCUCAGGACUUUUGCGGUGGCGACCUUCGAUGGAGGUCUUCUCAGAGAUUUUAUCUAACUUUCCUGAAGCUUCACAGAGAUCUCAAAACGUCCACAGCCAUGGCGAUAAACAAAGUCCACGGAUUAUGCGGAACCAAUCAUACGUUUCCUUAGAUCUUUUCCUUUCCUCUUUUUUUGGUGUUGAGGAAUUCAUACUGUUUUCUUUGUGCUUCUGAACUCUUAUGUUGAUCCUGAGUACAAAGACUACAUAGGCUUAGCAAUGCCACCAGGUGAUGUAACUUUAAAGGUGUGGCUGAAUAGGUUUUCUAAGCUUUAAUCGCAAUUCUUAUCAGCCCCUCCAUCAUUCACCAAACAGAUUUAUGGGCCUACCAAAAUAGACAAGCAGAAACGUUUAUGCAGCUUUUUUGCCAUUUCUGCUGCUCUUCGUUUACAUGUAUAGCCCGGUCGGAGUUGGAGAACAGAGGUAGCAGCUGCAAAUACUGAAGGAAGAUGAGAGCUUGACUUCUUGAAUGGCAUCGACCUUUAUUCUCAAGUUAUGUGUCCAAGUCAUUUUUCUCAGUUCCACGCAACAAUGCUACUGGGACAAAGAGCACCAUGAUGAAAUCUAUCUCCAAUGGAAGCUACAAACACAAGUCACUAUUUGCAGUGGCGGACUCAGGUUUGAUUUUAAGGGAUGCAUAUUGGGCUAUAGCCCAACAUAAUCAAACAAUACUAAAAAGAACAUAUGAAGCCCUCUGAGCUAUGCCACAUCGGAUUAGAAAAUCAGCCACUAAAAUUACAGCAAUCCUCCGUAUCAUUAAUGAGUUGCCUGAUUUCUUAAAGACUGUGGGCCCCGCGUUCUGACCGGUUAUGAUUAGUCGAUUAGGUUUGGUGUUCUGUCUGAUUUUGGUUCUCCAUGUUCGGUUAGAUAUUAAGUCAAACUCUGCGUUUUCUCUUUCAAUAGAUUAGGGUUUAAUUUUUUUCGUUCUUCCAGUUUUCGAUAUCGCCGUCUCCGCUAAUCUUUGAACGCACACACACAAUUAUUUCUUCUCACAACUCUUAACCUUCCCUAUGUUCAAAGUAUUUCUCUUAAUUUCGCUAAUAAAUGUUAUUUUCAUUGAAACCAAAAAUGAUGACGACCUCUCUGUUUCCUUCACGUCAAACCUAUAAAUUGGAGAGGGUUGAGAGUUGGAUCUUGACAUGAAGAAAUGAAGCCUCGGAGGAGACAAUGGAGAAGGACAAUCCUCGGGUCAAUCGUCUCUUAUGCCAAGAAAUCCGCCACGCGGAUCAGCACCGGAGGGAAUUCAGUUAGAAAAAGCUUAAAAAUUGUAGUCGAGAAGGAAAAGCUUAAAAAUCUGAAGGAGUGUUCUGACUCAUGUUCGAUAAUAUUUCAUCCAGAAGGAUAAUGCUUGUGUUCUCCUUCCCAGCGAAGAUCCGCAUUGAACCAAGCUCGCUUAUGUUCCUUAGUUUGUGCUUUUGCUGCCGCUGGAUCUGUGGACACCAACUAAACUAUCUUUAGCUUCUGGACUACAGUCAACCUAAUGUCAUAGCGGCUCCUCGAAUCUAUCUAUAUCGGUAAGUAUAAAGAGCAUUGAGAAAGGGCUAUCUCAUCUUUCUAAAAGGUAAUGGAGAAACUAAUCAGAUGCUCUGUUCUUUCUUUCUUUUUCCCAUGACAAGCGUAAAAUUGGUGAUGGCGAUGAACUCUGCACCAAAUUGAAGUUAUGCUUAUAUUGUUUUUUGCCCCCUAUACUCUAAAUAAUUACCAUAACUAAAAAUAUUCUAAUUCAUAUAAAUAUAAAACAAAAGUCCAGUUUGUUUUUAUAUCUACAAUCCCAUAGUGAAUGGGCUUUAUUUAGUUUAGCAGAUCUAAUCCAGUUUAAAUAAAAAUAGUUUUUUAUUAAAUAAAUAGAAAAUAGGGAUAUUUGUUUUAGAAAAAUCAACUAGGUCACGUGUACUCGUCGUCGUCUUCUCAACUUCUUCUGUCGUCUUCUCAACUUCUUCUUCCCCUGCAAUUUUUUUCCACCGGCUAGAAUCACUCACGAAAUCUCCUGUCCAUGUAAGUUUCUUUUCUAUUUAUUUAAUUAAUUUAUAUGAUUAUAUCUAUUUUAAAUGUUUGUUUGAUUCUCUUUUUAUUGCUUUCUGUUCCAAAAUUGUCUGAUGAUAUGCUUUAAGGUUGUGACUUGUAAUGUUAAUGUAGAAUAAUUUUAGACCCAGCCUAAUAUUAUUAUAUAUGAUUUUGAGUUUAACGUGAAAAACUUAUUAGCUAAUAUGAUGAAUUGUGUUUAGUUUAGUAACAUGUUAAAAGUCUUAAUGUAAUUGACUUUAUAAUAAUUUACUAUUUCUACUGAUUUACAGAUAAAUAGAGCGAUAUUAUAACAAAAUGAGUGCUUCCGAUUCUAAAAGAAAUUUGGAUAAAUUGGAUAACUCUGAUGAUUUGGAUUCUUUGGCAUGGGAUCCAGCUGAAAGAAAAAAGAUAUCGCAGUAUCUUCCGAAUCAAAAAGACGAAGUAAGGCUGAAAUAUUUAACUAGAGGUCCAUGUCAACCCUAUGGCCAUGUUUUUCAAAAUAAGAAGUUUGGAACAGCAAUGAGGCGGUUUAAUCCAGCUUGGUUUGAGAAGUAUGGUAAUUGGCUAGAGUACAGCGUCUCCAAAGAUAAAGCAUUCUGUUUGUGUUGCUAUUUGUUCAGAGAUGACAUACUAAAACAAGGUGGAAAUUGGGCUUUUGUGACUGAAGGUUUUUCUUGUUGGAAAAAACCCGAGGCUUUAUCUGAGCAUUUAGGUGGAAAUAAUAGCUUUCAUAAUAUUGCUGUUAAGAGUUGUGAUGAUUUGAUGAAUCAAGGUCAGUCAAUUGUGCAUGCUUUUUAUAAGCAAGGCGAUGUGGUGAAAAAUGAAUAUCGCAUUCGGUUAAAUGCUUCAGUUGAUGCUUCUAGGUACUUGUUACGACAAGGAUUACCUUUUCGCGGUCAUGAUGAAGGAAAAGAUUCUGCUAAUAAAGGAAACUUUGUAGAGCUUUUGAAGUAUACCGGAGAAUAAAAUGACGCUGUACGUAAGGUUAUUUUGGAGAACGCUCCAAAAAAUAAUCAGAUGGUUUCUCAAGUGAUUCAGAAAGAUAUUGUACAUUCUUUUGCUCACGAAGUACUGAAAUCUAUCAUGGAAGAAAUCAAUCAUGGAGUGUUCGGUUUGAUGGUCGAUGAGUCUGCAGAUGUUUCUAACAAAGAGAAAAUGGCUGUUGUCUUUCGGUUUGUUAUAAAAGUGGAUUAGUUAAAGAGAUAUUUGUGGGAGUUACUCAUGUAAAAGACACGUCUUCUUUAUCUCUGAAAUCUGCAGUUGAUGACUUGUUUGCAAAACAUGGAUUGAGCCUGAAACAGUUGAGAGGGCAAGGUUAUGAUGGAGCAAGCAAUAUGAAGGGACAGUUUAAUUGGCUAAGAGCAUUGGUUGCUAGAGAAAAUAGUUCAGCCUAUUAUGUACAUUGUUUUGCUCAUCAACUUCAGCUAGUUGUGGUGGCAGUUGCGAAAAAGAGCUUUGAAGUUAGUAAUUUUUUUGACAUGGUUUCGACUUUGCUGAAUGUGGUUGUGGCUUCUUGCAAGAGGAAAUAUACACUUCUUGAUAUGAAUCGGAAGAGGGUGGAGGAAGGGAUUGACAGUGGUGACAUUAACACUGGAACGGGACAAAAUCAAGAGAUUUCUCUUCCAAGGCCUGGAAAUUCUCGUUGGGGUUCUCACUAUAAAACUUUGCUGCGUCUGGUUGAGUUGUUUCCUUCAGUCAUUGAAAUCCUUGAAAGUGUUCAAGAUGAAGGCGCUGAUGACUCAAAAAGAUGUCAAGCAUAUGGUCUUCUCAAGUAUUUUCACACAUUCGAUUGUGUGUUCUAUUUGCAGUUGAUGCUGUUUAUUUUGGGAGUAACUGAAGUUGUGGAUUCAACUAAGAUGAAGAAUCAAGAUAUUUCAAAUGAAGAAUCAAGAUAUUUUAAAUGCCGUGUCACUUGAACCGUAUGAAGAAUCAAGAUAUUUCAAAUGCCGUGUCACUUGUAGAUUCAACUAAACGGGAGUUGCAAACAUUUCGAGAAGAUGGAUGGGAUUUGCUAAUAGGUAAAGUUUCAUCAUUCUGCGAAAAGAAUUAAGCUACUAUGCUUGUGAUGGAUGAAGAAUUUGUGGUUUUAAGGAGGCCAAGGAAAAAAACAGGUGUAACCAAUCUGCAUCAUUACAAGGUUAACUGUUUCUACACUGUUAUGGAUUUGCAACUUCAAGAGCUUAAUGAUCGAUUUACUGAGGUAAACACUGGUUUGCUUAUUUGCAUGGCUUCUUUAAGUCCUGCCAAUUCCUUCUGUGAGUUUGAUAAGUCAAAGCUGUAGAGAUUGGUUAAGUUCUAUCCAGAUGAUUUUAGUUUUGGAGAGUGUCUAUCUAUGGAACACCAUCUUGGAAUCUACAUUGACAAUAUAAGAAACGAUGAACGGGUUAAGAAUUUGAAGAAUCUUGGAGAUCUUUCUCGGCUGAUGGUGGAAAAAAAAAGCACUUUGUACAUCCUUUAGUUUAUAGGCUCUUGAAGUUGGUUUUAACAUUGCAUGUUGCUACUGCAAGUGUUGAAAGGUGCUUUUCUGCAAUGAAAUUAGUGAAGACAGCAACACGCAACUGAAUUGGAGACGAGUUUCUAAGUGAUUGUUUAGUAUGUUAAAUUGAAAAGGAGUUGUUUGAAUCUGUUACAAACGAAACAGUAGUGAACCGAUUUCAAUCCAUGAGAGAGCGUAGGAUCCAUUUGUAAGGAUUUGUACUGUUUUAUGGCAAUGUUUUUUAUAUUUUAUCUAGUAGUUUUUAUUUCUGCCCCUGAUACAUAUAGUUUCCAGAUCCGCCACUGGGACCAACUGCUUUGCAGCGAUGUAUAUAGAUUUGGAGUUGUUCUGUACGUGAUCAUCAUGGGUCGUUGCACGAUCAAGCAAAUGAAACCUUUGGCUGAAUAAACUAUAUCAUGUAGAUAGCAAAAGCUUUUGAAUGAUAGUUGAGUGGAAUCUAUGAAGCAAGUACCCUGUUUCUACGGACAGAAGAGUGGCUGAUCAUUGUCUGAAG